GACGAACGCUGGCGGCGUGCUUAACACAUGCAAGUCGAACGGAAAGGCCCUGCUUUUGUGGGGUGCUCGAGUGGCGAACGGGUGAGUAACACGUGAGUAACCUGCCCUUGACUUUGGGAUAACUUCAGGAAACUGGGGCUAAUACCGGAUAGGAGCUCCUGCUGCAUGGUGGGGGUAGGAAAGUUUCGGCGGUUGGGGAUGGACUCGCGGCUUAUCAGCUUGUUGGUGGGGUAGUGGCUUACCAAGGCUUUGACGGGUAGCCGGCCUGAGAGGGUGACCGGCCACAUUGGGACUGAGAUACGGCCCAGACUCCUACGGGAGGCAGCAGUGGGGAAUAUUGCACAAUGGGCGGAAGCCUGAUGCAGCAACGCCGCGUGCGGGAUGACGGCCUUCGGGUUGUAAACCGCUUUCGCCUGUGACGAAGCGUGAGUGACGGUAAUGGGUAAAGAAGCACCGGCUAACUACG
rnacentral:rRNA from 1 species